CUGGCUUUUCGAGAGCAACGCCUCCCCGGACUCCCGAGCUGCCUCAGGCCGCUUCGACGCGCCAGUGGGGCAGCGCUCCAAGCUCUUCAAGCUGCAAAUGGACGAGGAGCCGGGGGGGAGGCUCGCCAACCCAACGGGGCUACAGUGAAGAGAGGACGGCUGUGGGGCCGUGUGGUGGGACCCGUGGACCUGGAACGGGCCGGUCUCCCAGGCACCCGACAGAGCAUGGCCGUUCUCCUCACACAGGGACAAAGCAGCCUCCACUGCAGCUGCAUCCAACACCUCUGCAGCCUCAUCUGCCUGUAGACGGAAAGGUCCAGCUCAUCUCCUAUAUAGGCCACAGUCACAUCCUCCUCACUGAGCCCUGACACCUUACUUUCUGCAGAGACAGGUGGCAGCACGUUAUCAAGGCCUACACACACAAUCCCUCCACACAGUUUUAAACUAGCAGCUGCAUUUCACAGCUAUUAAUGACAUGCAUCUCUCGAGCUUCGCUGCUUUAGUAAACCACGGUCAGACC